ACCUGCCCUAUGAAUAAUUUGUUUUUAAAUGGCUGCGGUAUUUUGACCGUGCAAAGGUAGCAUAAUAAUUAGUUUCUUAAUUGGGAACUGGCAUGAAUGGUUGAACGAGAAAAAUACUGUCUCAAUUUAAUUUAAAUUAGAAUUUUAUUUUUAAGUAAAAAAGCUUAAAUAUUCUUAAAAGACGAGAAGACCCUAUAGAGUUUUAUAUAAAUUAUUAUGAUUAAAAGUUGAAGUAUUCUAGAUUUAAUUAUAAUAAUUUAUAUUUGAUUGGGGUGAUUAAAAAAUUUAAUAAACUUUUUUUAUAUUAAACCAUUUAUGUAUGAGUAAGUGAUCCAUAUUUUAUGAUUAAAAGAUU
rnacentral:rRNA from 1 species